rnacentral:rRNA from 1 species
UCGGGAAUUUUGGGCAAUGGGCGAAAGCCUGACCCAGCAACGCCGCGUGAAGGAUGAAGUAUUUCGGUAUGUAAACUUCGUAAGAAUAGGAAGAAUAAAUGACGGUACUAUUUGUAAGGUCCGGCUAACUACGUGCCAGCAGCCGCGGUAAUACGUAGGGACCAAGCGUUGUUCGGAAUUACUGGGCGUAAAGCGCACGUAGGCGGAUUGAUAAGUUAGAGGUGAAAUCCCGGGGCUCAACCUCGGAACUGCCUUUGAUACUGUUAGUCUCGAGUCCGAUAGAGGUGAGUGGAAUUCCUAGUGUAGAGGUGAAAUUCGUAGAUAUUAGGAAGAACACCAGUGGCGAAGGCGGCUCACUGGAUCGGUACUGACGCUGAGGUGCGAAAGCGUGGGGAGCAAACAGGAUUAGAUACCCAAGUAGUCCCUGAGCGGGCUGGCAAGGCGCAU